AGCAAAUGCAAAGCUAAAUGAUGA
rnacentral:siRNA from 1 species